UGCAUCUGCAGCUCAUGAGGAUGAGAACCUCCGGGGGCAGGGAGGUUCGACUCGAGCGAAGCGAGAGAACGUUGCGCCAGCAACGGCCCGCAGGGCGAGCCAC
rnacentral:sRNA from 1 species